rnacentral:lncRNA from 1 species
GGGGCGACAACAUGUAGGGUGCGAAUGCGAAAGAGGGCGAACAUGAGUGGGCACAAAGGUGAUUGGGCAUGAACAGACCCGGAUUCUAGGAAACUUAAUUGUAUUUUUGAAUUUUAAACAACUAUUUUUAAGAAAAAUUCUUUAUUAAAGUAUAUAUUACAUACUUCCAAUAACAUAUCAGCAUCAAAUGAUAUCAUGUUUAACCACAAGAUGUCAACUUGCAUGUAUUUAAAACUUACAUGUAUUUAAAGUAUAUAUUCAAGAUGCAGAUCCAGGAUUUUCCAAAAAGAGGGUCCUGAGGCCCACGAAACUAGGCAAUGUUUGGACAUGUUAGAGUAGAACAUGUAAAAUAUUCUAUGCAUUAACAGUAACCUAAUAUGUUGCAGCACUGUAAAAAAAAAGGGGGGGCUAAAAUUGCUGGGUUUAAGUUUUUAAUUUUCUAAAAAUAAAAAUACACAUUUAAUUUUAUUUAUAUAUAUGUUGUGUACAAGUUGUAAUGUUGUACAAAUUACAAUUUGUACAGAAUUUUUGUACAAGUUAUCAGUGUUUUAUGACCUGCUGAACAAAAAUGGAUGAUGCAAGCACAGUCUUUUGCUCCGCAUAUUUCUGUCAAUUUUUCACAACUUCAUGAUACACUCUAAUACUGAGCAUUGAUACAAAAACAUUAUAAGACCUCACAAAGAUUUUGUAUAGAUAUGAAUAUGGUAUAAGGAAAAAAAUAAAAUUAGAAUUUAAACCAUUCAGGUAUCCUCAUUUCCAGUUUGAAGGCAAGGAGAAUAGCACUAAAUGUUAGGUUGACGUAUAUUUUUUUGAAUUUAAAACAUUACACUGGUACAUUGUAUAAGUUAAACCUGUAUCACCUGUUGCAAGAAGGUAGGUGUCAAAAAUCUUAUAACUUGUACAAAAACCCUGUACAAAUUAUAAUUUGUACAAACUUACAUCUUGUACACAACAUAUAUAUAUCUAUUCCAUGCAUGUACAUGCAUGUAUGGCAUGUAAUACAUGUAAUAUGCCUUAAGAGUUUUCCAGAUUAAUAGGUGACCUUUAGAAGUUAAUGUCUGUGUCAUUUUGGACUCUUGCGGACAGUUGUCUCAUUGCAAUCAAUCAAUCUUCUUUUUUAUAGCUUGUACAAUGUAUUAAUUACUGAUAGUAAAUUUUGAGAUGAAAACAUCAAUUUUUUUUAAAGGGUCUUACAGGAUCGAGGAACCUAUAAAUCAUGGUUAAUAGCACAAAUAAAUCAAUUUGAAGCCUGCAGAAGCAACCAAACUUGAACACAGGUCCUCAAACACCUUAACGCUAUUUGUCCGCCAUUACUGGAUAUCACACAGAUUCCCAUAAUAUUUUGACGUCAUAAAACAUAAUAUCUGACGCCACAAUGGAAAAGUGAUUGUUG